UGUCGCUUGCCACACUCUCCCUCUCUCCCUGAUCCAGAUCGGCCGCCUAUCCCUCAUCCAAACCCUAGCCUCCAGUCGCUGGCGGCAGCGUCCUCCUUCCCUCAUGCCGCACUUGUUGCUGCACCUCCCACGCCCGAUCCCGGCGAGGGCGUAGCAGCCGGCACCCUCGUGGAGUGGCAUGCGGCGCUAGCAACGGGGUCUGGCCAGCGACGCCGAGAUCUACUACGGCACGACGCCGACGCAGUCAGCCACGAUCGCCUGUAGCUUCCACAUGCCCAGCGACGGCUACACCGUCAUAGUGCCAAGGACGGAGGUGCAUCGGGAUGGGGACUACCACCGGGCGGUGCACGUGUGGAUCUACUACGAGAGCACCGGGGAGUUGUUGCUGCAGCGCCGCGUGGACUGCAAGGAGUCAUGGCCCGGCCAGUGGGACAUCUCCAGCGCCGGCCACAUCACCGUCGGGGACUCCUCCCUCUCCUCCGCGCGGGCGAGGCCAGUGAUGUCCGUGCGGUGAUGUCCCUGGGGUGCCGCCGACGCUUGCCCUGGUCGCCGCGGUGGUGCUUCGGCGGCUUCUGGACCCUCUCUUGGAUGUGGUGAUGGUCACACCAUAGUCGUGGUGUGGCUAAGCCUCUACUACGGCUACAACGUCUCUAUGGUUGAGCAAAUACCGAGCUGCAGUGGAACAACCUAGAGUUAGAGAACUUCAAGGCCAAGAUCAACGAGGUGACCGGCGUUAUGGCGGCUAUGUACGGCGGCGACCACAAGUUCUUCCGUUGAAGGCGCUAAGGUGUUGGAGGCGUGCCUGUACUUGUUGAGCGUUUUAUCUUUAGAGUGCUAUAUUGUGAUUGGUGUAAUACUGUAUGGUUAUAUUGUGAUUGGUGGAAUGUAAUAAACCUGAUUGGUACAAUAUCAGUGACUUGGCUGUUAUUUGAAUAUAUUUUAAAUGUGUUCUCUGAUUGAUA